AGGACAGAUACCACGAUCAAGAAGGUGGUUCACCCAGGGCGAGGCUCAGCCAUUGCACUCUGAUUGUGCUGUCCACUGCGAAUUCCCCAAAUGUGGGAAUCUCGACU
ensembl:snRNA U1 U1 spliceosomal RNA